rnacentral:rRNA from 1 species
AGUGGCGGACGGGUGAGUAACGCGUGGGUAACCUGCCCCAUACCGGGGGAUACCACCUGGAAACAGGUGCUAAUACCGCAUAAGCGCACGGGAGCGCAUGCUCCUGUGUGAAAAACUCCGGUGGUAUGGGAUGGACCCGCGUCUGAUUAGCCAGUUGGCAGGGUAACGGCCUACCAAAGCGACGAUCAGUAGCCGGCCUGAGAGGGUGGACGGCCACAUUGGGACUGAGACACGGCCCAAACUCCUACGGAAGGCAGCAG